CCUGGCCGCAGAGGGUGCCAGCCCCGUACCUGGAAGCUUGCCGUCUUCCGAUCAUGUGUCCCAAGUAGCGCGGGCCUCGUGGAAUCCCGUGUGAAUCGGCCCCGACCGUGGGGUAAGUCUAAGCAUACCUGUCUGACCGAUAGCGUACCAGUACCGUGAGGGAAAGGUGAAAAGCACCCCGGGAGGGGAGUGAAAGAGUUCCUGAAACCGUGCGCCUACAAUCCGUCGGAGCCUCCUUGUGGGGUGACGGCGUGCCUAUCGAAAAAUGAGUCUGCGAGUCAGUGGUGCGUGGCGAGGCUAACCCGUGGUGGGGGAGCCGUAGCGAAGGCGAGUCUCAAAAGGCGUUUUGAGUCGCGCGCCCUGGACCCGAAGCGGGAUGAUCUAGCCCUGGGCAGGUUGAAGCGCGGGUAAGACCGCGUGGAGGACCGAACCCACCUGGGUUGAAAACCGGGGGGAUGACCUGGGGCUAGGGGUGAAAGG
rnacentral:rRNA from 1 species